AAUAAACGCUGGCGGCAGGCCUAACACAUGCAAGUCGAACGCCCCGCAAGGGGAGUGGCAGACGGGUGAGUAACACGUGGGAACCUUCCCUAUACUACGGAAUAGCCCAGGGAAACUUGGAGUAAUACCGUAUACGCCCGAGAGGGGAAAGAUUUAUCGGUAUAGGAUGGGCCCGCGUAGGAUUAGCUAGUUGGUGAGGUAAUGGCUCACCAAGGCGACGAUCCUUAGCUGGUCUGAGAGGACGACCAGCCACACUGGGACUGAGACACGGCCCAGACUCCUACGGGAGGCAGCAGUGGGGAAUAUUGGACAAUGGGCGCAAGCCUGAUCCAGCCAUGCCGCGUGAGUGAUGAAGGCCUUAGGGUUGUAAAGCUCUUUUGCCGGGGACGAUAAUGACGGUACCCGGAGAAUAAGUCCCGGCUAACUUCGUGCCAGCCGCCGCAGUAA
rnacentral:rRNA from 1 species